UACGUUAGCUGUAGGAAUACGGUAGUUGAAAGGACAUCGAGAAACAGCCAUGACUUUGCUGCUAACCCUCACCAUUUUCGUCGUCCUUGGGACAGCUGCAAGUCAGCAGGAGCUGCAGGGCGUAGAUCCCGGUCAUAGCAGAACUCAAGGGCGAAGCCUUCAUCAAACGCUCUUUGGAAGAGGUCGAUUGGGUGCAUACUGCAAUGGUCCGUGCCAAGAAUGGAAUUGCCGUCCUGGUUGUGUAUGCUCAGACCUUUGGUUAUGCAUUGAAGAGCCUUGAAACGUUGUGAUUAAAGCAUUCUGUCCAA